UACAUGGGGUGCAAACGUUGCUCGGAAUUAUUGGGCGUAAAGCGCGCGUAGGCGGUUACUCAAGUCGGAUGUGAAAGCCCUCGGCUUAACUGAGGAAGUGCACCCGAAACUGAGUAGCUAGAGUACUAAAGAGGGUCGCGGAAUUCCCGGUGUAGAGGUGAAAUUCGUAGAUAUCGGGAGGAACACCGGUGGCGAAGGCGGCGACCUGGGUAGAUACUGACGCUGAGGCGCGAAAGCUAGGGGAGCAAACAGG
rnacentral:rRNA from 1 species